rnacentral:rRNA from 1 species
GACGAAGGAUGCAAGCGUUAUCCGGAUUCAUUGGGUUUAAAGGGAGCGUAGGUGGCCUUGUAAGUCAGUGGUGAAAUCCUGUCGCUUAACGAUAGAAUUGCCAUUGAUACUGCAGGGCUUGAGUACAGUUGCCGUUGGCGGAAUAUGACAUGUAGUGGUGAAAUACAUAGAUAUGUCAUAGAACACCGAUUGCGAAGGCAGCUGACGAAACUGUAACUGACACUGAGGCUCGAAAGUGUGGGGAUUAAACAGG